rnacentral:lncRNA from 1 species
GUGAGAGCAAGAACAGCCCGCAGGUCCCGAGGCGCUUGCAGGGGACUCUGCCGCGGAAAGUUCCCAGUCCCCAGCCGCAGGUGUUUUCCCUCCUGCUGAUCGUGGAAAGAAAUCACCAAGAAGAGGGGAAAGUUGCCCCGGGGCCGGUAGUCAUGUAGGGGUUACCAAAGCAAGGGACUCUGGCAGAGAUGCGCGCGGACAAUUUAAAUGCCGGCAUAAAAUGAAGCUUUUUAUUUUUGGUUGAUUCCUGCUGUCUACUCCUCUUGGAUGCCUUUGUGAAACUGCUUCUAUCUGAGAAGGAGGAGUUGCCAUUUAGCAAGUAGUAGGUGGUACCGUGUGUGGCAGAGUCCGAUGUGUUACACCACGAGGACAUUCAUCUUUGCAAUUGGUGAAGUCCUUCUACCUAGUUCCCCUUCCUUGUGCACAGAAGAGGACUGGAAAACUCCUCACAGGACUGCAUACUGCUAUCUCUGAGAAACCAGAAAGAAGAAAGUACCUCUUCCUUCCAAGCUUCUACCUAAGAGUAUACUGGAAGGUUUACCUAGAGCAACAAGACAACGAAAUGGAUUGUCCUUCUCACGCUAGUCCACACACAAUCCUCAUCAUUUUGAUAAGAUAGCAUGAAGUCUCUUAUCGCUUGUGGAUCCAGCACUUUGGUUCAGCAAGUUGGAGAGGAAAGAGUUUAUUCAGCUUGCACUUUCAUACUGCUGUUCAUCACCAAGGAAGUCAGGACUGGAACUCAAGCAGGUUCAUCUGCCCAUAAUUCUCUAAGAUUUGGAGCUGUUGAGGAGUGGCUCAUAGUAGACACUGAACCAUCAGCCAACAGCAUUUGUUGUCCUGGAUGUCUGUGCCAACCUUUCGAGUCACACUGGGGUCUAAAGACACACCUGGAAUAAAAAUCAGAAUGCUUAAGAAACUUAAUAUGAUCUGCGGGAGAAUACAUGAGGUUUUUGUUUCAUACCACAGUCUGAUGACAGCAUGGAUUUCAACUGAUGAUGUUCACCUUUGCCUCUUGGGUCAAUAUGUGAGCUCAGAGAUUUCCCUGCUUUUGUUCUGUCAUUAUGGAUUCUAAACUUCUGAAACUACAUACUCAAUUAAAUGUUUUCUUUUAUAAAUUA